AUUGAACGCUGGCGGCAUGCUUUACACAUGCAAGUCGAACGGCAGCGCGGGGCAACCUGGCGGCGAGUGGCGAACGGGUGAGUAAUAUAUCGGAACGUACCCAGAAGUGGGGGAUAACGUAGCGAAAGUUACGCUAAUACCGCAUACGAUCUACGGAUGAAAGUGGGGGACCUUCGGGCCUCAUGCUUGUGGAGCGGCCGAUAUCUGAUUAGCUAGUUGGUGAGGUAAAGGCUCACCAAGGCGACGAUCAGUAGCUGGUCUGAGAGGACGACCAGCCACACUGGGACUGAGACACGGCCCAGACUCCUACGGGAGGCAGCAGUGGGGAAUUUUGGACAAUGGGCGCAAGCCUGAUCCAGCAAUGCCGCGUGAGUGAAGAAGGCCUUCGGGUUGUAAAGCUCUUUUGUCAGGGAAGAAACGGUUUGGGCUAAUAUCCUGGGCUAAUGACGGUACCUGAAGAAUAAGCACCGGCUAGCUACGUGCCAGCAGCCGCCGUAA
rnacentral:rRNA from 1 species